GGUAAUUCCAGCUCCAAUAGCGUAUAUUAAAGUUGUUGCAGUUAAAACGUCCGUAGUCAAAUUUUAGUCUUUAGAUGAGGUGGCCUGGUCUUCAUUGAUCAAGCUCGCUUUUAUCGAGACUUUUUUUCUGGUUAUGCUAUGAAUAGCUUCGGUUGUUUAUAGUCUCUAGCCAGAUGAUUACCAUGAGCAAAUCAGAGUGUUUAAAGCAGGCUUUUAAGCUUGAAUGUGUUAGCAUGGAAUAAUGAAAUAUGACUUUAGUCCCUAUUUCGUUGGUUCAGGAACUUAAGUAAUGAUGAAUAGAAACGGUUGGGGACAUUUGUAUUUGGUCGCUAGAGG
rnacentral:rRNA from 1 species